rnacentral:rRNA from 1 species
GAUGGUUCAGUGAGGCUUUCGGACUGGCCCAGGGAGGUCGGCAACGACCACCCAGGGCCGGAAAGUUAUCCAAACUCGAUCAUUUAGAGGAAGUAAAAGUCGUAACAAGGUCUCCGUUGGUGAACCAGCGGAGGGAUCAUU